UGCGUAGGGGGCAAGCGUUAUCCGGAUUUACUGGGUGUAAAGGGAGCGCAGAUGGCAGUGCAAGUCUGGAGUGAAAGCCCGGGGCCCAACCCCGGAACUGCUCUGGAAACUGUGCGGCUAGAGUACUGGAGGGGCAGGCGGAAUUCCUAGUGUAGCGGUGAAAUGCGUAGAUAUUAGGAGGAACACCAGUGGCGAAGGCGGCCUGCUGGACAGUAACUGACGUUGAGGCUCGAAAGCGUGGGGAGCAAACAGG
rnacentral:rRNA from 1 species